CUUCAUUUGCAUCUGCAAAACACAAACAUUUGCAGAAUGAUGCUCUAUCACUGUGUGUCCAAGCCCCUACUGGCCUCAAGUGAUCCUCCUGACAGCUCCCUGUGGUGUGAAAAGGAGCUAUCAUCUACACUUGCUGCAGGUGAGAUGACUGUCCCGGCAAUGGCCCAAGGCCCAUCCUCUCUCAAUGUGACUGUUUAUCCAUGUUACUCCAAGAGAAUCUAACAGUUAAGGGGAGAAAAAGCUGCACUGCUUGCUUCCAGAGCUAACUGUGUCCUCCCUGCUGUCCUCCCUGCUCUGGGCCACAGCGAACACUGGACAGUGAUAUUAAAACCUAGAGCAUGAGGAAGCCAGUGAGGAGAAGCUGGUGAGAGGCUCUGCCCUCAGAUGAGAGGAACUGGAAUUCACACAUGCUCCAUCUGCCUCUGCAAACUUCGGAUGACUCAGUGUCUACCCAGCGCCUGGUCAUCGGCAUUCCUGCCAAGUGGAUCUCAGGACAAAGAAAGGACAUGACUGCCUGAAGAGGGCCCAGACAUGCAGUGGGGCAGGUGCUGGCAUCUGAGAAAGUCCUAGGAGAGAACCUCCUCCAGUGUGUGAAGAGCUUCCCAAGCACCAGGUCCACUGACUGUGGCGUCAAAGACAGUGAAAAGCUGGCCUUGGGGUGAUGCCAUCCAGGAAGGCAUGCCAGAUCAGAUGCCCAGCAACUAUCAUCUUCUCUGCUUGGGCCCUACUGCUGUGGUUCAAGAAGGAACUACCUGAGCAACUGACACUUCUGCCAGCCACCAGUCCCUGUCACUGUGCAUCUUUGCCAAGCUAAUGUGCUCCCUGGAGGAUGGGACCAGCACAGAGUCAGGUAGGGCCUGGGGCUGGGUGUGUGACCUGUGUGUAGUGAUGGAGACUAAUUCAAAGCAGGGUGGGAGUGAGACAGAAGUGUGGUACAAAUAGCAUGGAGAAUGGGCUCAAGGUGCAGGAAGGGGCAAGGAUGAAAGCUGAGUUACAGGCCAGCUCUGCCACUGACAAGCUGUGAUUUCCCUCACCCCAAAAUGACAGUAAUGACACUUCACCUCCCUGAAGGCAGGAGCCAGGUUAAAGGGGCAUGUUGGAGUGAUCUUAAAUGACAGCUGUGACUGUGACAGGAACCCCCUGUGUUUAUGAUUUGAGAUUUUAUGUAACUGCACUUGAAAUAUUCAUGUGUGUGGAUUUUGUAUAUGCAUGGGUAGUUGCAUGUUGUCUCCAGUGCAUGUACAUAAUCUGUGUCAUGUAUUACAUGUGUUCUAUAUGGGGGCAAGAACAGGUUACACGUUAUAUGUGAUAUACUAAUGUAUGAGUUACAUAUUGUACAGUUUGGGUGUUACAGUUUUUGGGUUUAUGGGCUACAUGUCAGUAUUAUGGCUGCUGUAUUGUUAUAAUUUAUCUGUUGUAUAUUGUAUUUAACUUGCAUAUGAACUCCAGACUCAUAUAUCCAGCUGCCUUCUCAAUAUCUCUACUUGGAUACCUAACCAGUUUUCUUAAACAUAACAUGUCCAAAACAGCCUAAGAUUCCUCCAAACCUGCUUCCCUCACCAUCUUUCCCAAGCCCAUACGUAGCAAUCUUAUUUUUUCAGUUGCUGUAACUUUUUUUUCCACAUUCCACAUUCAAUUCAUAAGCAAAUCCUGUUGGCUGGCCUUUGCACUAUAUCUGCAGUCUGUCCACUUUUCAUUAUUCCCACAGUAAUAAUGUGGGAAUAAGGGUUCAGCCACCAUCACCUCGCUUCUGGAUUAUUGCAAUGACCUCUUAAGUGGUUUCCCUGCCUUCUCCCUUGUCCUCUACAGUCUGUUCUCAAUACUGCAGUCAGAAUAAAAUGUCACACCAUGUCCCUUCCCUACUCAGAGCCCUCAAUGGUUUCCCCCCAGUUAGAGUGAAAUCCAGAGCUGGCUCUUACAAUGGUCUAGAAGGCCCUUUGGGCUGCCCCAAGCCACCUCUCUGGCUUCAUCUCUUCCUAGUUUCCUUGCUCCAACUGUACCAGCUUCCUUGCUAUUCCUUGAACAUACUAGGCAUGCUCCUGCAUUAGGGCUUUUGCGGUUUCUGUCUCUUCAGCCUGAAAUGCUUGUUCCUAUAGAUAAUUGCAUGGUAGCUUACUGUCUCACCUCCCUCACUCCCUUUUUAUUUAUUAUUAUUAUUAUUUUUUUUUUUAGAAAAGGUCUCACUCUGUCACCCAGGCUGGA
rnacentral:lncRNA from 1 species